UUUAAAGAGAGUUUGAUCCUGGCUCAGGACGAACGCUGGCGGCGUGCCUAAUACAUGCAAGUCGAACGAACCAAAGAGAAGCUUGCUUCUCUGUCGGUGAGUGGCGGACGGGUGAGUAACACGUGGGCAACCUGCCUAUCAGCGGGGGAUAACACUUGGAAACAGGUGCUAAUACCGCAUAAUAGAGAAGUUCGCAUGAACUUCUUUUGAAAGACGGUUUCGGCUGUCACUGAUAGAUGGGCCCGCGGUGCAUUAGCUAGUUGGUGGGGUAAAGGCCUACCAAGGCAACGAUGCAUAGCCGACCUGAGAGGGUGAUCGGCCACACUGGGACUGAGACACGGCCCAGACUCCUACGGGAGGCAGC
rnacentral:rRNA from 1 species